GGGAUUAGGGAUUUCAAUCUGAGCUAGGGAUUUAACCUGAGGAGUAAGCGAAAAUUAGGGAUUGCUAUUCGAAAGAAGAAGAAGUAGACAAAGACUAUCAUCACGUGGAGGGCUUUGCAGGAGGUUGAACAUCACCAUGCAGCAUGAACAUCACCAUGCAGCCUGUACCUCACAAUGUUCGUAGUAUAGUACACAUUUCAACAUGCAAAAUCUGGC
rnacentral:lncRNA from 1 species